ACUGCAGCUAACAUAAACACAAAACAAAUGCAGGCAUGCCUGGUGGUGUCAAGUACUUUGGCGAGCUGGAGGAACAUUGCUUUCUAGGGCAAUGAAGUGAAGCUCUACGAGCGCCAUGUGGAUAAGCUCUUCACAAUGUUUGGACACAAAGAGCCAAUGAUCGACUAUUAUGUCUGCACCAUCAACAAGAUGUUUGCCAAACCAGGCCAGGGCAUGGUAUGCCCAAAUGCGUAGCCUGGUCAAUGUUUACUAACUUCGUGAUGUAGCAAGUUGUAUCUCCAUACUAUAGACUUAGACUCAAACUUUUUAUUCAUUUUUUUUAAUUUUUUAACAGAAAACAUGUUGAUUGAUUCUCACUGAGUAUCUGUGCUUUUAACUUUAUCUUUUGAACACCACUACUGAUGCUUUAGUGCCAUGCCCACACUGUAUGUGAAAAUGACAAAUUUGCUUUGCUAUGUCUAUCUGUAAGCCCAAUUUUCUUUCGUCGGUAUUUUAUCUCACUCUAAUACUUUGUUAUACUCAAUGAGAUUCAUUCAACUCUCUUUUGCAAUAUUACUUGUUUCUCUCAUAAUUCUAUAAUCUGUUGUGCUCGGCCAGUCGAUUACCCGCGCAUCUAUUUUUAGCUCAUAUAAAAAAAUCUUGUUCUGUUCAUACUACUUAACAGUCAACAGUUUAGUCAUCUUAUGAAAACCAAUUAUGUUCCCUAUAACUCCAAACAGAAUUUUAUACCUCAACUGGUGCUUUCAAUAUACUGCCAUAACCAUUUUUUCUUAUCCUAUUUUCAUCUAAGAAGUGGAUGAGCUCGAGGAGGUGUUCUACGAGGCCCCACGCCCCUUGUCCCCUCCCCUGCUUCUCCGCCGCCGCCUCUUUCUCCGCCAAAUCCACAUCACUGCCGUGCCCGUUGCUGGGACGGGACAGGGGUGGAGGCGAGGGAGAGAGGGGGGUUGACUCGGCAGCGCCGCCUAGCAGUGUAUGAGGUAUCUAGAGGAGGGCAGUGCGGCAGGGUAAACUCCUCUCCCACUGCAGAGCAGUCCACGGCGCGGUCACUGUCGUCCUCACCUUCUAGCCGUCUGUGAUGUCCGUCGCCAUCGCCAAGCCCCCUCGCCACGCGGUACACAUAGAUGGGAGAGGCGGUAGGAUGCAGCAGCUCGCAGAUUCCUUGGUCGCCGCCGAUGCCAAGCAAGAAGACAAGGUGGGAAGGCGAAGCUGGUUGGAGGAAGAAGCCAUGCAAACUUGGUGAGAGAGGAGAUGGGGUAGGGCGGGAAGCUGUGUGGGACGACUCGGCACUGGUGGACGCCUUCGAUCACACCGUCGCUACCUAAAAGGUAUGGGCCCUCGCCCCCUUUUAUUCUCUUGCCCUUUCCGCCUUGUUGGGAGAAGAUGUAUGUGUGUUCUGUUUUAGACAAUGGUGUUCAUGUAAGCGCGUUCACGUCAUGUUCCGUUCUGCAAUGCACAAGUACUAUGUUCUCUUUUAUUUCUGGAAUCGUGUGUAUUCGCACAAGUACUAUGCACACAGCAACACAUGGUCUAUACUGCUGCAAAUUGUUCCGCGUUAGCUUUGAAUCUGUUAGUGAAGUUGUUAUUGUAUGGUAACGGCGUACUUUUAUGGGAUGAUUAAUAGAAUGGAUCUGCAUGUGCUAUAGAUAGCUAAUCCUUUGCAACAAUUUAAUAAGAUGCUGAAAUCAAAGGCGUGGCCUCUAUUUGAUCAGCACGGUAUGCUAUAAAACCGAGAAGAAGAGAAGGAGGAGUAUGGGUGUGAUUUGCUUCUGUUUUUGUUAUAUAAUUGUAGGCUCUGCUGGUACCAUUUUCUUUUUCUGGUGUAAAUUUUUGCUCUUGCGAUUUGUCUCUUGUAAUUAUCUUGAAUCCUACAGUCAGUUGCAUUUUUGGUUCCUACAGUCAGUUGCAUUUUUGGUACCAGGUGAGAGUUUGGUCCUGCAAUUCGGUUCCUACAGUCAGUUGCAUUUUUCUUGUAUGAAAUUAAAGUGUCGUAGUUUAUCAAUAUCACCCGAAUUGGACCAUCUGACAUUUCAUAAGCUUUAUCAGUACUAUGUUCUCCUCAGCUGUACUGCUGCUCCAACUGAAGGUUUGCUCUCAGUUUCAGAUCUCCCUGAGUUAUUCUAGAAUCUAUUAUGCUCUUUUACAUUGAAUUCCUUGGGUUGAAACUGUGAGCUGUGCCUAUUUUUAAUUCUAAAAUAUAUCUGCUGUCUAGAGAAGGUAGAACGACAAGGUUAUUCAGAUGUUUUACAGUAUCUGAUAUGCCCCUUAAUUAGUACGGUGGGCUCACAAGCUUGGGUCCUGAGCCACAAGAACUCGAGAAAGGCAUCAUACAUUCCUUUUUUGCAAGGCACUGGCAACUUCAGAUACGAUUGCCCAUGGACAUGUCUCAGAAUCCCCCAUGUCAACAACUGGUAGCCAAAGAUCUUCAUAGAACUGAGUGGCAUUUUCGUCACAUUUUUUGUGGUGAUUUUACAAUUUGAGUAUUCAGCUUGAAUACCCUUUAAACUUUCCGUCGUUCUGUUCUUAUUGUUUUCGUAUAGCGGUAGAUGUCACAAUUGAAUCUUGAAUUCUUAUCACUGCAGAAAAUUGCAGCAUAUAGUGAUUCAUUACUUCUUGAGUA